rnacentral:tRNA from 1 species
AUUCUCGUGGUGUAGUGGUAACACUCCUGUCUGGUGAGCAGGAGUCGUGAGUUCAAGUAUCACCGAGAAUA